AAGAGCCCCAGAGACUCAAUAAUUUAUCCACAGAACAGGCUUGGUAUUGGCAGCAGCAGGGUCACAUUCAACAUACUGCCCCACCAAUGUGCCUCAACCCAGGUCUGGUGGAAACAUCACAAGGGCUGAAAGUUUAGUUCAGUUCAGUUGACCCUCUGUGUUGAGACUGA
ensembl:misc_RNA